UGUGACAUGCUGAGUGUACGUCUCCCAUCACCCAAAUGCAAGCUCCUUGAGAGCAGCGACGUGGUAUUUCCAAUGCCUGGAACAGUACGUGGCACCUGAUGAGUACAGUCAAAGGUAUUUCGGAAUGUUUGCUGAGUGGGCUGGAAUGUUGGCGUGAUGGUUGAAGCUGUAACAGCCAUCUUCGACUACAAAAUGGAAGCUGCAUGCUACAAAUGACAGAAGACAAGAUCAAAAGAACCUGUGUUCCCAGCACCACAGAACUGUCCCUAUGGAAAUAGACAUGACUGUUACAUAAGAAAGAAAUAUACCCUACUAUGUUUAAGCCUCUGUUAUUUUAGCAUGUGUUGUAGCAGUUGUAUACUAAGUAACUAAUGAGAAAGAAUAUUUUGUGCCCUGGUAAAGAUGGAUACUUCUAUAUGUUAUGAGAACAAUUUGAUGAGGUAAUUGUAAUUUAGUAGAAUAAUAUCAAAUAUUAAUGUCAAAUGACUAGUUUGGCAUUGCCACAUAGUAAUUGUUGGGCAAGUUAUUAACCUGUGUCUCAGUUUCCUCACUGGUAGAAUAACAAUAACAGACAAUCGUACUAGUGUCUAACGUUUUACUGAACAUGUAGCUUGGUUCAGCGCCACACAUUAUUUGAAUUAAGUAGAAUAAGAGAGUCCUGAGUAAAUAUAACCCAAAUGUAAAUUAUUUUUAAACUUUA
rnacentral:lncRNA from 1 species